rnacentral:rRNA from 1 species
AUGAUGCAUAGCCGAGUUGAGAGACUGAUCGGCCACAAUGGAACUGAGACACGGUCCAUACUCCUACGGGAGGCAGCAGUAGGGAAUCUUCCACAAUGGGCGCAAGCCUGAUGGAGCAACACCGCGUGAGUGAAGAAGGGUUUCGGCUCGUAAAGCUCUGUUGUUGGAGAAGAACGUGCGUGAGAGUAACUGUUCACGCAGUGACGGUAUCCAACCAGAAAGUCACGGCUAACUACGUGCCAGCAGCCGCGGUAAUACGUAGGUGGCAAGCGUUAUCCGGAUUUAUUGGGCGUAAAGCGAGCGCAGGCGGUUGCUUAGGUCUGAUGUGAAAGCCUUCGGCUUAACCGAAGAAGUGCAUCGGAAACCGGGCGACUUGAGUGCAGAAGAGGACAGUGGAACUCCAUGUGUAGCGGUGGAAUGCGUAGAUAUAUGGAAGAACACCAGUGGCGAAGGCGGCUGUCUGGUCUGCAACUGACGCUGAGGCUCGAAAGCAUGGGUAGCGAACAGGAUUAGAUACCCUGGUAGUCCAUGCCGUAAACGAUGAGUGCUAGGUGUUGGAGGGUUUCCGCCCUUCAGUGCCGG